UACAGAGGUGGCAAGCGUUGCUCGGAAUUACUGGGCGUAAAGGGCGCGUAGGCGGCCCGUCAAGUCCCGUGUGAAAGCCCCCGGCUCAACCGGGGAACGGCGCGGGAAACUAGCAGGCUUGAGUUCGGGAGAGGGAAGCGGAAUUCCGGGUGUAGCGGUGAAAUGCGCAGAUAUCCGGAGGAACACCGGUGGCGAAGGCGGCUUCCUGGACCGACACUGACGCUGAGGCGCGAAAGCUAGGGGAGCAAACGGG
rnacentral:rRNA from 1 species